UACAUACCAGGGAGAAGCCACUCUUACUUCAGCACCCUGGACCCUCAGGAGGAAAAAAGGAAGGAGACUGUGGCUAUACACGCUCUGAUCUCUGAUGAAUUUGAACUGGCAACAGACAGCAAGGACACCUUUGUUAAGGAAUAAGUUUCAGAAUAUCUCAUCAGUUCUCAGAAGUUAAGUGACUUAGAAGAGGGUCGCAUGGAUGUUGGGGUGGGAGCUGUUUAUUUAAUAAUGGUUCACCUGUGGAGGAGGGACUAAGAGGGCAAGAGGACCCUGAGAAAUUCUCAAAGGUGACAUUCUGCAAAUUCAAGAGUAGUCUUAAUUCAGAGGAAGAUGAAUAGUCAAGUAAGUAAAGCAGUUCAGCACUGCACAUGCUACAAGAUGCUUAUUUUUUCCAUGUUUGAAAUUGAAUAGUACUUCAUUAGGUGUUCAGGCAAUAGAAAUUAAAAAAAAAAAGUUUAUGGUAACUUGACUACAGUUGAAAUGCAUUGAAAUGUCAAAGAUUGAUGUGCAUGGUAAUUGAUUUCAUAUCGUCAUGCCGUAUUUAGACAACUAUAAACAUUGCUAAUCUAAUGUUUCAAGGUACUUAUGAACAAUUAGCGAUUCUGCACUAGCAUCUCAAACACACUUUUGAUGAUAAUAAUAUAUUGAGAUAAGUUCUAUGAAUCCUAAAAGGGCUGUUGUGUAAAUGAUGACUAGAAAAACAAUUAGAGUUUCUGUUUCCAGUGAAAUGAUUAUGUCUUUGCAAAUAAAAACAGGAGGAUUCUAGUUGUGAUCAUGCAAGAAUUCAGCACAAUUCUCAGGGAGACUACAUUGCUUUACAAUAAUAUACUUGUUUAAAAUAAAGGAACAUGACAUCUGCCUUUCUAACUUUAUGGACCUUCUGCUACUGCUAGUGACUAACUUGGCUGUUUGUGCAGCCUUUACAGUUUCCAGAGUGCUUUAUCUCCUGCUAGAAGGGUGUUAAUGGCCAACGAUAUAGAAUGGAAUGGAAGUGUGUAUUUGGGUACCCAAACAUAAAUACAUGCGGACUUUCAUUUGAAAAUAUUUAAAUGCCUUAUACAUACUGACUUCACUGAUGCUUUUUGUGCAUGUAAAGAAAACCAAUUAUCUGUGGAGAAAACUUGACUGGGUGGAGGGAAAUUAAAUUGGUGUUUAAAGACUUCCUUAAACAGCAGUAGCUAGGGAAAGCGCCAAUAACAUUUUAGCUCAGGAUUGUAAUGACUUGGCCAUAUUAAUAAAUCAUGCUUUAUCCUGACUUUUAUCAAAAGACUUGGAUGGGGAAGACUGCACGUGACAGAGGAGGAGAGAAGGGCACUUUCAGCAAAGCUGUGCCUGUGUCAGGCCACUCUCCCAGUGCCUGUGACGCUCUGGAAACAGCUGUUGGAGAAGUCAGGUUGCAUGCGAGCAGAUGAAUUCCACAGCUGGAACGGAGGCACAGAGCAGUAAACACAGUGGAGCCCAUCUCUGCCAUGGUGAGAGGGGGCAUCAGAAGUGACAACAAUGAUAAGGACCCAAGGGCCGUCCUUCUGACAAGUUUCAGCACUGAGUGUCUCCAGGAAAAAGGGGUUCCAUAAGAAGUGGCAUCCUCCUCCAGUUGAAAGAUUCUUGGGCUGAUGGAGUAAGUGAGUGACGGAGUGGGUUGCCAACUGUAGUUACUCCACUCAAUGCGGAAUGGCUGCAGGGAAUAUAUUCUGAUGUGCCCAAAGAAGUCUGCCCAGGGUGAAACAAAUACCUUUGAGGUUUAAAUCAGGAAGAGAGGCUGUUUCUACAGGUGUCAUAGAAAAGUCGAUGCUGAGCCAUGGAUUAUUGGAUCCCAUAGAACCACGGAGACUUGGCAGUAAAAUCCUUCCAGAGGCAGACGGUGUUCCUAGCUUUGGAAACGUACCUCCCAGGGGAAGUGAGCUGAGGAACAUUUUAUGCAUCAUUCAUCCAGUUAUGAGCCCUUGCUGCUCCAUCUCUGCACAGAUGUUGAAACAACAGCAACAACAAAAAUUGUUUAUAAUGUAUAUUCUAACUUUGGAUCAUCUGGUUAACGCCCUGAUGCUAUUACCCCGAAAGACAAUGCUCUGUCAGAAAAAACCAUUAAAGCUCGCUGCUGCAUGAUUAGUAAAAUAAUAGGGAAAGUACAACAUUCUGGAUGUCCCAUCUAAUGAGUUGGCAGUUACAGAACAGAAACAGAGCAAUGAGACCGCAUGGUUACAUUUUCCCAGUGCCACCAACUGGGAGUUAAGCUGACUAACAUUUCGAAAGCCCAGCCCAUUUCAUUCACAGCAGGCAUGGCAGAGCUGCAGUUGACCGUCUAAUGGUGUUUGUAAUUGAUGAUGAUGACUGUGCUGCUGCUGUUGAUGAGAGCACCAUUAUCCAGUGCUCCCAAGUCAUGGCUUUUGUGUCUAGGACCUCAGGCUCUGCUGCUUCCCGGUGAUUCCAUUGCCUCUGCAGCAAUAACAGAUCAUUUAUUAGACACCUACUAUGUGCUAAACAACUGAUAUGUAUUCUUGAAUCACAACAGCAUUAUAAGCGGUUGACUGAUUGUACCUGCCAGCUGGCUAAUAUCAUAAUUAACAAAGUUGCUACUACGUGUGCAAAGUUUAAUCGAAAAAUUUGCCAGUGCUAUGAUGGCGUUGUCACAAAGAUCACAAGGGACUCGGAGUCGACUUUUGCUCAAGGUGGAACUGCAAAGCUGUGUAGGCAAAAUGAGAAAUCUUGAACUUGUUCAGCCAAAGGUUAUGCUUCAUAUCACCCACCAGGGAGGAUCAUCUCUCAUGAAAACUUUCAAAUUUGAUUUUGAAAAUUAUUCAGAAAAAUUUAAGCCAUGCUCUCUCCCAGUGUAGGAAAGAAAAUACUCUGGAGAUUCCUAUAAUUCAAAGAAAAUGGACUGGAGUAACAUCUGAGUUCUCAUGCAGCCAGAAUCCUCUUGAGAAGAACAGCCAGGAGGCUAAUAAUGGAGGGGCCAGAGAAGGAGGCCAGUGCUCCGAGGGUUAUCUCACAGCCUCAGAUGCUGGAUAAGCCGAAGGAGGCAGAAUCGCUUCUGGAUGACAUUCAGAAAGGCCGGAGUGAUUAUUGGAAGAGAAAAGCCUGCCUAUUCUUUUCCAAGGUGCCUGACUAUUCCCCGGGCCCGCCCGUCCGGCCACUGAUGAAUGAUUAGCCACCUGCCUCAGACAAAGGAUGCCCUGGGAGCCUCCCCACACCUACGGCCGCUUUGAAGGCUCUGCCAAGCUCACUUUUAAUCACGAGAAAGGAAUUACCCACAUGGAGUCAGCAGAAAAUGAGAAAGUAGAGCUCGUGCUGCGAAUCAUUCCAGCAAGUGCCAAGGGGCUAGUUGAGGAAUGGCUUCAACGAGGAAAAUGAGCUGUGGUUGGAUUUCGAAUUCUUAAAGAAGGAGGACGAAUCAUGUUAGAAUCCCAGAGAGAACAAAUAGACUCCUGAUACGUGAAGCCAGCGCGUGAUUGAUUAUGACGUUUUCUUAAUACAUGAGCUGCGCCCGCGCUCUCUUUGGAAAAUGCUUCUCAGACAGAGCGCCUUGCUCCCGGCAGAGGCUACCUUGGGAGAAAAUGGAAUAUUGUACUUAACUCCUCGUGUUACCACUAUCGAUCGAGCCUUCUCUCUUGCUGCUUCUAGACCGUGAGCUUUUUAUGGAAAGUGCUGGAACUCAUCUACAUCCCCAGCACCUAUCACAGGGCUGGUCACACAGUGGAUCAACGUGCAGUGGCAGGAUGAAUGGACAUGUGUUUGCGGGAUGAACGGAUGUGUAAAUGAAUGCAUGUCUGGCUCCUUGCCCUUGCGAUGCUUUGUUCUUUUCUAGCAGAGCUAAUUGACUCCCGGUUAGAGCUCGAUGACAGUCUUGUCCUCUGUCACCUGGAGCCUAAGAAAUCUACUGCCGCAGCUCAGGUAUUGAGUCCACCUUGGCAUUCCUGAUUCUCGGCUGUCGUCGGUCUCUGUCUGACUUCUCAUGAAAGCACAGGGGACAUUUACUGUUCAUGAAUACCCAGAUCCCAUUUUACCUUCUUUCAGAAACACCUGCUCCCUCCUCUCGUUUGGGGUGAUUCUGAUUAGGGUGACACUCCUUUCCUCCCUCCAGCCCCAGGAGUGAACCGAGGGUCCAGGUAUGAACAAUCAGGGUUCCCCGUCCUCUGGCCAGAGUAACUGCUUCAUUCAGAAAAGAACACAUCACUCCUCAGAACACCUUCCAGUGACUCUUAGGACUUCCGUUGAGCCAAUAAGGGAAAAGUAGCUCUUUCCCACUGGGAUGCCAGGCUAGUUCAGUGUGAGCCUCCAGCCGCUGGUGGUCAUCUUGCUCCUGCAGGAGAAUAACCUGCCUGAGAAUGAAGCCACAUUAGGAAGGGGUGUUUUAAGAGAUGCAGAGAGAGGUAUUCUUGACAGCACAAUGUACAUCUAAUUUAAGAGUUCAUCCAUGCUUGGAACCCAGUCUGCUUAUUGGACUUGCACCUAUAUAAUCCAAUAAACCCAGCCCGCCACCCCUUGUGUGUGUGUGUGGGGGGGGAUCUGACCACCAGCUUGGACUGCCAUGCAAUCCACUGCCAUGUUUGUUGAGUCCUUUGCUUUAAGGACCUAACCUAACCCUAACCUAACUUGUUCCUAGUACAGUUUAUACCCCUCUGACCAGUGUCUGCCCCAUAUUGGUGGUGAUGUGUAGUCUCUAG